GACGAACGCUGGCGGCGUGCUUAACACAUGCAAGUCGAGCGGAGCGGCGAACGGGUGAGUAACGCGUGAAUAACUGCCCCCCUCUCUGGGAUAACCGUUGGAAACGGCUGCUAAUACCGGAUAGUGGGGGAUGACUCGGGUCCUAUCAGCUUGUGGGUGGGGUAGUGGCCAACCAAGGCGCGGACGGGUAGCCGGCCUGGGAGGGGGACCGGCCACAUUGGGCUGAGAUAGGGCCCAGACGCGUAUGGGGGGCAGCAGUGGGAAAUAUGGCACAAUGGGGGAAACUCUGAUGCAGCAACGCCGCGUGCGGGAUGACGGCCUUCGGGUUGUAAACCGCUGUCAGCCAUGACGCGGUAGUGGCAGAAGAAGCACCGGCUAACUACGUGCCAGCAGCCGCGGUAAUAC
rnacentral:rRNA from 1 species